UCCUGGUUUCCCAGGCAGUCUGGUUAGAGUGCCAUCUUGCGAUAGGCAACUAACCACAGGGGUUGCGCUCGUUCAAGGACUUAACCCGACGUCUCACGACACGAGCUGACGACAGCCAUGCAGCACCUGUGUAACCGUCCGUAUUGCUACGGAACCCAAUAUUUCUACCAGUGGCAGUUACAUGUCAAACCCAGGUAAGGUUCCUCGCGUAGUGUCGAAUUAAACCACAUGUUCCACCGCUUGUGCGGACCCCCGUCAAUUCCUUUGAGUUUUAAUCUUGCGACCGUACUUCCCAGGUGGAUCACUUAACGCGUUAGCUUCGACACAGAACCUGCUAAGCAAGUCCCACAUCUAGUGAUCAUCGUUUACAGCGUGGACUAC
rnacentral:misc_RNA from 1 species